GACGAACGCUGGCGGCGUGCUUAACACAUGCAAGUCGAACGGAAAGGCCCUGCUUUUGUGGGGUGCUCGAGUGGCGAACGGGUGAGUAACACGUGAGUAACCUGCCCUUGACUUUGGGAUAACUUCAGGAAACUGGGGCUAAUACCGGAUAGGAGCUCCUGCUGCAUGGUGGGGGUUGGAAAGUUUCGGCGGUUGGGGAUGGACUCGCGGCUUAUCAGCUUGUUGGUGGGGUAGUGGCUUACCAAGGCUUUGACGGGUAGCCGGCCUGAGAGGGUGACCGGCCACAUUGGGACUGAGAUACGGCCCAGACUCCUACGGGAGGCAGCAGUGGGGAAUAUUGCACAAUGGGCGGAAGCCUGAUGCAGCAACGCCGCGUGCGGGAUGACGGCCUUCGGGUUGUAAACCGCUUUCGCCUGUGACGAAGCGUGAGUGACGGUAAUGGGUAAAGAAGCACCGGCUAACUACGUGCCAGCAGCCGCGGUGAUACGUAGGGUGCGAGCGUUGUCCGGAUUUAUUGGGCGUAAAGGGCUCGUAGGUGGUUGAUCGCGUCGGAAGUGUAAUCUUGGGGCUUAACCCUGAGCGUGCUUUCGAUACGGGUUGACUUGAGGAAGGUAGGGGAGAAUGGAAUUCCUGGUGGAGCGGUGGAAUGCGCAGAUAUCAGGAGGAACACCAGUGGCGAAGGCGGUUCUCUGGGCCUUUCCUGACGCUGAGGAGCGAAAGCGUGGGGAGCGAACAGGCUUAGAUACCCUGGUAGUCCACGCUGUAAACGGUGGGUACUAGGUGUGGGGUCCAUUCCACGGGUUCCGUGCCGUAGCUAACGCUUUAAGUACCCCGCCUGGGGAGUACGGCCGCAAGGCUAAAACUCAAAGGAAUUGACGGGGCCCCGCACAAGCGGCGGAGCAUGCGGAUUAAUUCGAUGCAACGCGUAGAACCUUACCUGGGUUUGACAUGGAUCGGGAGUGCUCAGAGAUGGGUGUGCCUCUUUUGGGGUCGGUUCACAGGUGGUGCAUGGCUGUCGUCAGCUCGUGUCGUGAGAUGUUGGGUUAAGUCCCGCAACGAGCGCAACCCUUGUUCACUGUUGCCAGCACGUUAUGGUGGGGACUCAGUGGAGACCGCCGGGGUCAACUCGGAGGAAGGUGGGGAUGACGUCAAGUCAUCAUGCCCCUUAUGUCCAGGGCUUCACGCAUGCCACAAUGGCUGGUACAGAGAGUGGCGAGCCUGUGAGGGUGUGCGAAUCUCGGAAAGCCGGUCUCAGUUCGGAUUGGGGUCUGCAACUCGACCUCAUGAAGUCGGAGUCGCUAGUAAUCGCAGAUCAGCAACGCUGCGGUGAAAACGUUCCCGGG
rnacentral:rRNA from 1 species